rnacentral:lncRNA from 1 species
AUGGCUAAAGGUGACCCCAAGAAACCAAAGGGCAAGAUGUCUGCUUAUGCCUUCUUCGUGCAGACAUGCAGGGAAGAACAUAAAAAGAAAAACCCAGAGGUUCCCGUCAAUUUUGCGCAGUUCUCCAAGAAGUGCUCUGAGAGGUGGAAGACCAUGUCUAGCAAAGAGAAGUCAAAGUUUGAUGAAAUGGCAAAGGCAGAUAAAGUACGCUAUGAUCGGGAGAUGAAAAAAUUAUGGACCAGCUAAAGGAGGCAAGAAGGACACAAAUGCCACCCAAAGACCUCCGUCUGGAGUUUUCUUAUUCUGCUCUGAAUUCUGCCCCAAGAUCAAAUCCACAAACCCUGACAUCUCCAUUGGCAAAAAAGCUGGGUGAGAUGUGGAAGAACGUCAGUGACAAAGCAGCCUUAUGUCACCAAGGCAGCAAAGCUGAAGGAGAAGGAUGAGAAGGGUGUCGCCGACUGUAAGUCUAAAGGGAAGUUUGAGGGGCCCAAGGGUCCUGCUAAAGUUGCCCGGAAAAGGGUGGAAGAAGAGGAAGAGGAGGAGGAAGAGGAGGAGGAAGAGGAGGAGGAGGAGGAAGAAGAGGAGGAGGAAGAUGAAUAA